GACGAACGCUGGCGGCGUGCUUAACACAUGCAAGUCGAACGGAAAGGCCCUGCUUUUGUGGGGUGCUCGAGUGGCGAACGGGUGAGUAACACGUGAGUAACCUGCCCUUGACUUUGGGAUAACUUCAGGAAACUGGGGCUAAUACCGGAUAGGAGAUCCUGCUGCAUGGUGGGGGUUGGAAAGUUUCGGCGGUAGGGGAUGGACUCGCGGGUUAUCAGCUUGUUGGUGGGGUAGUGGCUUACCAAGGCUUUGACGGGUAGCCGGCCUGAGAGGGGGACCGGCCACAAGGGGACUGAGGUACGGACCAGACUGCAACGGGAGGCAGCGGUGGGAAAUAUUGCGCAAUAGGCGGACGCCUGAUACGGCAGCGCCGCGUGCGGGAUGACGGCCUACGGGUUGUAAACCGCUGUCGCCUGAGACGAAGCGAGAGUGACGGUAAUGGGUAAAGAAGCACCGGCUAACUACGUG
rnacentral:rRNA from 1 species